rnacentral:rRNA from 1 species
UACGGAGGGAGCUAGCGUUGUUCGGAAUUACUGGGCGUAAAGCGUACGUAGGCGGUUAUUCAAGUCAGAGGUGAAAGCCCGGGGCUCAACCCCGGAACUGCCUUUGAAACUAGAUAGCUAGAGUCUUGGAGAGGUUAGUGGAAUUCCGAGUGUAGAGGUGAAAUUCGUAGAUAUUCGGAAGAACACCAGUGGCGAAGGCGACUAACUGGACAAGUACUGACGCUGAGGUACGAAAGCGUGGGAGCAAACAGG